UGUCAGUCUCUAAGCUUUAUUUCCUACUUUUAAAUUACAGUCAGGUAUUUCUUUGUUUAUUUGAUUUGACACAUCCAUAUGUACACGAUGAAACAAACCAAGAAAUACGCUCGGUUUAACAAAACUGUGGCCCGGUCGCUCCUCCGGCCCGCAGAGGAGUUGACACGUGCUCGUACAAAUGAAAUCAAAGCUUAUUUGUUACCCUUUAGUCAACACCUCGGAAACAUCAAGCGAGCACUGGGACAUCACAUCUACACUCGUGAUCAACACCUCGCAUCGAGCGUUUGGUCAAACUGGAAAGAAAAACACACUUCAAAACACGUUGUUUACAAAAGUGCCGUAAAUUAUUGCUAAACCACUGUUGACUAGCUUACAACAGUAAAAAACACACAUCCUUGGAUCCUUUGCAAAAAACGCACAGGCAUUAUUGUACAUUACACAUCAACACUAGACAUCACUAUCAUUUCACGGCUACUGUUCACCUCCACACUUAGUAAAUAACAAAUAGUUACAAGAAGUCUGUGUUUUACAAAUAGUCACACAGAGGCAUCGGCUGCCAGUUUGAGUCACGACGUGGGUCCGUGGCGAGACGCGGCGCACGCUCCGUGUCUGUCUGUGCCACAGCGACACGCUUCCCUCACGCUGGCAGCGACAAGUACACAGCAGUCUUACAACUCAGUCGCUAGAUAUUCGUUCCGGAAGAGGAUUAUUGUGCUGUCCUAAGAAGAAAAUACAUCAUAAAAAUUGUUCAGAGAGUUACUUCUCGAGCUUAAAUAUGGAGGCUCAUUAAUGGGAAUCUCAAAAAAUUGAAGACUUAUGAUAGUAAAUACUAAAUAGCUACCUAUCUCUUCCCAGUCCCUUCCUUCUGUAUCCCGUUCUCCCCUUCUCCAUUCUACUGUAUCCCGUUCUCCCCUUCUCCUUUCUACUGUACUCUCUUAUCUCCCCUCUUCGUCCCACUCGUCCACCCCUCUUCUUCCCGUCUGUGCCACCCCUCCCCCCCUGCGGAGCCCACCCGUGUCAGCGCUCGCUCGUAGCGGCAUGCCCCGUCCCUCGUGGAGCAGGCGAGUCUCAUCUCCCAACCGUGCCUUGAGGCCUGAUUUGUCGCCAUUUGAACUUGUAUAGUAGUUCCCACUAAUAAUUGCACCAGUAAAAAAUAUGUGUAACUUUUGUUUUACAGUUGUUGCCUUGCAGGUUGCACGAAGAACUUGCGGAGCCACCGAGUACGUCCGUAAACCUGACUUGCAUGGAGCUCCGCGCUUCGCUCAGCCAGCAGCUGUGGGGCCUGACUAGUGCCCGUCCCACGAGUGACGACCAGACAAGCACCCGAGUGCCAUCGCAGCGACGUCCGCUGCACCCCGCGAGGCUGCAGGUUGCAGUGUAUGCAGCAUGCGCUUGGGAAAUAAUGCGAAAGUGAAGGAAGUAAGAUAGCACAAUAGUACCUAGGUGUGAAGCCAGUAUGCAACUCGGGAAAACAUUGGCCAGAAUGGCUGAGUGGUUUGUAUGUGCCUCACGUGGUUGGUUGAGUGGAAUAGUUGAAAUCAGCGGAUUGCUUCAGAACAUUGUCCGCACGACACGCACACGAAACAUGUCCUCCGCAAGUUCUCCGCAGAGCUCUACAGUACUUCUGACACAAGAGCUGAAACUAGAGACUUGCACACUUAUUUCAGUGCAGUACGCCUGUAUGUUUUAUCUUUUACUGUCUAAGGUAAAACAUUCAAUUCUUUAGAAACAGACUGACUUGAAAAACAAAAUAUAUUAUUAUAUAUUAGCGUUUAUGUUUGAAUUACAUUUUUCUUGGACCAACUGCCUUAACAUUUUUUUUUCUUUUCAUGAAUUUUGAAGAUUAAGUAUUGGGUGUAAAAAAACCUCUCACAAAUAUUAAAUGUUACUUGUUAGUUAAACAGAUGCUGAACUUAUUUUGUAUAAUUUCAGUAAUAUUUUUUUAUCAACCUUUCAUGAUAGGUACUUUGUAAUUCUAUGUUUAAGGCAAGUUUACCUAUAAUGCAUUCAGGCAAUUAUACAUAUAAUGCAUUCCUUACUAAAAAAAAAUCAUUGUGAAAUUUUUGUAGUGUUGACAACAUAAUUUAUUUUAAAAAAAAAUUCUUAGACGUGUUUUAAUGAAUAAUAACCAAAUGAAGACUAAUGUUUCCACUUGGGAAAGAGGGUAGCUGCCCCCACCCCUCUUCUCCCUGUUGUGUGUGACGGGGAAGACAUAGCUCUUGUUUCGUGUCGUGGAAGUGCACUGUACUGGCUUCCACGCCAUGAGUUCAGGCUCUUACAGGUGUCAGCACUGUGCCUUAUUGGACUGAUUUCACACUUGAUGUCAGAGUACCAUCAGUUCUCACUAGUUCUAAGUACACGCCGGACUGCCUGACAUUGGAACUGUAGCAUUGUGCUUUCUCUGGAGCAAGUCAAACACAAUUACAGUGCACGGAACAACCAGUAGAGCCAACUUAAACAGGCUGACAGGGCAGAGAUCAGUGCUGACAACAUGCUGGCUGCCCGAGGUAGCUGUCUCCGUGGCCUCAAAGAGAACAAUUUUUUUUUUUUAAAGACAGUAAUUGACAAAUUGGGAAAAUGUAAGAACACUUGCAUGGGGAUUAUUCAUGCCCUGUAUUUCAAAACAUUUAGAAACCAAAGUUAUUAGGCACCAAUAAAUUGUUAAAUUCAAAUACAGUAAAUCAUUGUCCAAUUUGAACUACUGUAUUCCAAAUCGUAGAUGCUUUGAAAAAUUUUGCUGGUCCCUCGUAAAUUUCCUAAUAAAUCAGUAUAAAAAGAGGAUCAUUCAAAAUUAUCUGGUGAGAGUUCAAAGCAAAUGAGAUUAAUGCCCUUUCAAAUUCCGUCCUUGGUUUCAGGUACUUUAUGGCUGCUGAAAUUCAAGUAUGGCAGCAUGAAGUACUGUGUCCCACUUGCUCUAAGCUGUCAGCUCACACAGUCUCAACUUGUUUGAGUUAUCAGCCUUGUAAUUUUUUUUUUUAAUGUGAAAUCAAAAAUAUAUUAGGGCCAUUGUUUAGUAAAUUAGUAACCUGAAGGUAAGUUAGAAGGUUAUACCUGUGGUGUUAGACCUCGCCUAGUAAACCAUGCUACAGCAAAGUGCAACACAGAUGUUUUUUUUGCAUGGACUGUAAAUCUCACCGUAACAACAAUGUGCGAAAGCGAGAAACAAGUGUUCACUACUUGGUGAGCGGGACGAUGGAGUCGACUGCACGGCUAGCGGCGGCCGCGCCGGGGUGCCGCGGGGGGCGGACAGUGCUUCGUUGUGGCGGGCGAGGGGGCGGGGCGGAGACCUCACGUGGACUCCAUCUGCUCCGUCAGCUCCAGGAUGGGGCUCUCGCUCACGGGCUGCAUGGGCGACGACAGCGGCUGCCACGGCAGGUAGGGUCCCGGCACGCCCAGCUGCGCACACCCACACACAUCCUCGCCAUCCGUGCCGUGCCUCCGUGCCGCACGCUUGCGGCUGCUUACUGGGAGGGCCACAUCAGGUGUGUUUGCAGCUAAGCAGUCGCCCUCACGGGCCCGCCUACCUGGACGUAUGGUGCGCAGAGCUUCAGGGAAAACUACUCGAGAUACCCGAGCAGUGUCUGUUCAAGAAAAGCAAUAGAGAAUACGCUGAGGGUGGAUGAGUAGUUCUGUUUCCAAAUGUGUUGUACAACUGUUAUUUUAGGAGAGUACCUGAAAAUGGCUAAAGAGCGUGUUUUCAGAAUAAUUUUUUUGGCAUGAAACAGCCGUUACAGAUUCUUGAAAGCAAUUGAGGGACUUGCUUAUGUAUAUUUUUAUCUUCCAUUCCCGUCCAUACAAUGUUAUUCACCGCUCCAGUACCUAAGGGUGCGGUAAUACGGAACACAGGUGAACGGGUUUAAGUAAACACGUUUACAAAUGCGAAAGUGAACGGUCACACAGCAGUUGGUGUGAAGUGUGUUCAGCUCCAGAACUGAUCGUCUACUGCCAUCGUAUUUGUUUGAGCAAGUGCACCUCUGUUAAAGAAUUACCGUCAGGAUCAAUUUCAAAACAAUAAAAUAUUUACCUGUUCCAUCUUUCUUUUUUUUGUUGCAGUCAGUAACAUAUUACACGAACACGUGCCAGGAACAUUCUCCAUCUUGUGUUUUCACACAUAGGACUGUUUAUACCCUCAGCACUCAACAGCCAAUCAGAGGCUUGUGUAGAAGAGAUGUCAUUCUGAAUUAUUUGCCAACCUGUGCAGGUUGAAUUAGAAAUGGCCUCGAAUGAACCAUGUUCAGACUGUGUGUUCACCUGAAGCAGUUCAGAGCCCAGUGUGACCGCACCCUUAGUUACCUGAUGCACUCCUCCAGGUCUGCUCGCCAGUAGCCCAGAGGCGACACCGCGCUGGAAGCACAUCAAGCGUACACCCCUCACUGGGCGGGCCGCCUGGACAGGCAGCGAGAGUUGCUUAAUGAACUGACUUGUCAGGUUUCCAAUGGUGUCCAUGUCUGGCGAGUGAUAAUGACACGUCUGUUGCCAGUGACCACCGCUCCGAGGCAACGUGCGCUCACUGUGUCCCGUGGUCGUCUCGCAGAAGUCGCAGUUCCUCAUCCUGCACGGAGCCGACACACUUGCACCCAGCAAGCUGUCUCGCAAUCACAUGGCUCGUUCAGGCUUUGCUAUUUGCUUUACUUGCGUUUCUUCUGUCAACUGCUUUUAUUGUCAAAUUAUGUUUCUUUUAUUUAUGAAACAAGUUAUAAAUAACACAUUAAUAUCCAUGUAUGAUAAAUAAAUAUUGUUACAAUUUUAAA